AUUGAACGCUGGCGGCAGGCUUAACACAUGCAAUUCGAGCGGGGUGAUGGUGCUUGCACUAUCACUUAGCGGCGGACGGGUGAGUAAUGCUUAGGAAUCUGCCUAUUAGUGGGGGACAACAUCUCGAAAGGCAUGCUAAUACCGCAUACGUCCUACGGGAGAAAGCAGGGGAUCACUUGUGACCUUGCGCUACUAGAUGAGCCUAAGUCGGAUUAGCUAGUUGGUGGGGUAAAGGCCUACCAAGGCGACGAUCUGUAGCGGGUCUGAGAGGAUGAUCCGCCACACUGGGACUGAGACACGGCCCAGACUCCUACGGGAGGCAGCAGUGGGGAAUAUUGGACAAUGGGGGGAACCCUGAUCCAGCCAUGCCGCGUGUGUGAAGCAGGCCUUAUGGUUGUAAAGCACUUUAAGCGAGGAGGAGGCUCUUUUGGUUAAUACCCAAGAUGAGUGGACGUUACUCGCAGAAUAAGCACCGGCUAACUCUGUGCCAGCCGCCGCGGUAA
rnacentral:rRNA from 1 species